GAUGAACGCUGGCGGCGUGCCUAAUACAUGCAAGUCGAGCGAACGGACGAGAAGCUUGCUUCUCUGAUGUUAGCGGCGGACGGGUGAGUAACACGUGGAUAACCUACCUAUAAGACUGGGAUAACUUCGGGAAACCGUAGCUAAUACCGGAUAAUAUUUUGAACCGCAUGGUUCAAAAGUGAAAGACGGUCUUGCUGUCACUUAUAGAUGGAUCCGCGCUGCAUUAGCUAGUUGGUAAGGUAACGGCUUACCAAGGCAACGAUGCAUAGCCGACCUGAGAGGGUGAUCGGCCACACUGGAACUGAGACACGGUCCAGACUCCUACGGGAGGCAGCAGUAGGGAAUCUUCCGCAAUGGGCGAAAGCCUGACGGAGCAACGCCGCGUGAGUGAUGAAGGUCUUCGGAUCGUAAAACUCUGUUAUUAGGGAAGAACAUAUGUGUAAGUAACUGUGCACAUCUUGACGGUACCUAAUCAGAAAGCCACGGCUAACUACGUGCCAGCAGCCGCGGUAAUACGUAGGUGGCAAGCGUUAUCCGGAAUUAUUGGGCGUAAAGCGCGCGUAGGCGGUUUUUUAAGUCUGAUGUGAAAGCCCACGGCUCAACCGUGGAGGGUCAUUGGAAACUGGAAAACUUGAGUGCAGAAGAGGAAAGUGGAAUUCCAUGUGUAGCGGUGAAAUGCGCAGAGAUAUGGAGGAACACCAGUGGCGAAGGCGACUUUCUGGUCUGUAACUGACGCUGAUGUGCGAAAGCGUGGGGAUCAAACAGGAUUAGAUACUCUGGUAGUCCACGCCGUAAACGAUGAGUGCUAAGUGUUAGGGGGUUUCCGCCCCUUAGUGCUGCAGCUAACGCAUUAAGCACUCCGCCUGGGGAGUACGACCGCAAGGUUGAAACUCAAAGGAAUUGACGGGGACCCGCACAAGCGGUGGAGCAUGUGGUUUAAUUCGAAGCAACGCGAAGAACCUUACCAAAUCUUGACAUCCUUUGACAACUCUAGAGAUAGAGCCUUCCCCUUCGGGGGACAAAGUGACAGGUGGUGCAUGGUUGUCGUCAGCUCGUGUCGUGAGAUGUUGGGUUAAGUCCCGCAACGAGCGCAACCCUUAAGCUUAGUUGCCAUCAUUAAGUUGGGCACUCUAAGUUGACUGCCGGUGACAAACCGGAGGAAGGUGGGGAUGACGUCAAAUCAUCAUGCCCCUUAUGAUUUGGGCUACACACGUGCUACAAUGGACAAUACAAAGGGCAGCGAAACCGCGAGGUCAAGCAAAUCCCAUAAAGUUGUUCUCAGUUCGGAUUGUAGUCUGCAACUCGACUACAUGAAGCUGGAAUCGCUAGUAAUCGUAGAUCAGCAUGCUACGGUGAAUACGUUCCCGGGUCU
rnacentral:rRNA from 1 species